UACGUAGGGGGCUAGCGUUUGUCCGGAUUUAUUGGGCGUAAAGAGCGUGUAGGCGGCCUGGUAGGUCUGCUGUGAAAACUCGAGGCUCAACCUCGAGAUGUCGGCGGAAACCAUCUGGCUAGAGUCCGGAAGAGGAGAGUGGAAUUCCUGGUGUAGCGGUGAAAUGCGCAGAUAUCAGGAAGAACACCUAUGGCGAAGGCAGCUCUCUGGGACGGUACUGACGCUGAGACGCGAAAGCGUGGGGGAGCGAACAGG
rnacentral:rRNA from 1 species